UGCUUUUCCUCCUGAUGGGCAGCCAGGAGCACUGUUAAUGUUAUACUGUGCUGUCCCAGGCACUCCAAGUGGGAUUAUGCAUCCUGGCUGUUCUCCUAGCGCUGGAUGAAAGCUCUGUCUGGAGACAGCUGGAUCCUACAUGAGGAGCAACAAAGGGGCUGCAGAGCAGUGAUCUGUUACUCUUCUCUCACAUGUAGAUGAGUAAAAGGUAUUUCAGCUUCCCAGUCUUGGCAAAAAAGAAAUAAUAAUAAUUUGGUGGGCUAGGCUUGGUAUUUCAAGAGCUUGGUGAUGGCUUGUGAGACUUCAGGCAAAAAAACAACCAAAUGAAUUAAACCAACAGGCUGAAGAGAACCGAAGCAGUGGAAAAUGCCACACUUUUAUUGAAGUUCAGUGACACAAAAGCUGACGAGAUGCUGAGUGAUUCAUCAGACAGCGCAGUCAGUUGGAUGCGAAGGAAUGCUGGAGAAAGUAUCAGUUACAAUAAUAAGUAGAUUAAUAAUUACAAAAAGCUUUGGUGCUCCCCCAGAGCUAGCCUGAUCCUACACAGUGAAUGACUUAAAUAAAACAAGUGGGAGUUUCAUUUGUUUUAUUUGUAUUUAUUAUUUUUAACCUUCAUAAUCCUUCCUUGUAUUGUGCUGGAGCCUGCAAUGGUGAACGUAAAAGCACGCAUCCAACAGGCUUCAUUGGGCUGCAGAUAGCUCCCAGCUCCUCAGCUGAGCUAUUGGAGCCAAGAGAUGUCUGCUCCUUUUAUCUUUAUUGUAAGGCUUACGAACUUGGAAUAAAUUGGCAGGAGUGGCUUACUGUAAAUAAAUAAAUAAAGCUCAUGCUUCGGUCUGUAGAUGGAGCGGGCUUUGCCCUGCAGUUGGUCGGGUUAUAAAUGUGGUGGGAAAUGCUGACUUUUGAGAUGAUGGAAUUUAUAUAUAUUUUAGGGGAAUGUCUGAAGCUUGACAGCAGUUAAUCUUAUAAGGUCAUUAGAAAACGGAGUGCCUUUGAUUAGUGUUUAUCACUGUGAACAGUUCAUGUUGAAGUGAACGAAGUGGACACCGCCCUCCUGUUCAUGCAGCCUGUUCUGUGCUGAGAAAAACGAGUGUACAGAAAGCUGUGGCUCAUGGGAUUUGCUGGGAGAGGCAUGAAAGGAGCCCAGGGGCAUGUUUGGGGCGGUGGGCUGCCAUGGGCUUAUCAGCUGAGGUUGGUGUGAAAGCCUCUCCUCGCUCACCAGGCUUGGAAUGGACCAGCUUGAAGGCUCGGCGGUGAGUCUGUAAGCCAAAAAGCUGUACAGCCAUGAAGACUGACAGCCAUCAAGGCUGCAUAUUCUCAACUUGCAAGCUCAUAAAUAUUUACACAUCUGCAUGAUCACUCCUGGCUGCGGGCUGCCUUUCUCAGCUUAGAAGAGGCCAAUGCAGCUCAGCCAUUGCGAUGCGAGUGGAUGAGCGUGGCCACGAGUGAGGACAGCUGUGAUGGCCACUCCCUUCAUCCUUGUGUUGCUCCUCCUUUUCUUCUUUUUUUCUCCUAAAGUGUAAAAGAGCUGGCUUCCUAAUAAUGGCAAGUCCUGGAGUGUAUGGGAGCCUCCUCCUCUGAACUGUAGGUUUUGAAAAUGGGUAUUCCAGAUGUAUGGAUCCGUGCCUGUAUGACUCGUGGUCUCACCUAGCUUAACUCUUGGGAAUCAGACAAAGAAAAGACAAGCUAGAGAGAAUAUAGCAGACUGCAAGAGAGAGGCUUGUACCAUGACAAAAGCAUCCUCUCUGUGAUGCACCCGAGUUAGGCAGAGGCUCUGCUGCAUGUGGUGCUCCCCGAAAGCACCUCUCGUCCUCACUCAUCAUCCGCAAAGUCAGCAGUGUACAAGUUCUGGAAAGCAUUUCAGUGUGUAGGAAGAAACCCACAUCAUGUUGAAAUUUGCAUUAUGUCAUUUUACAUGUGGUUAUGUCUUGUGCCUAGUGAUGCAAUGUAACCCGGCCUAACCCCGCUUGACUCUACGCAACGGGAACGUCUCCAGUGCCAGUCAGUGUGCAGAGCUGAGUGGGGAAGGAGCUCACUGGGGCUCUGGAAGGGAUGUUUGGUGGGGGAUUUUGGAGCAUGUACCCGUUGUACCUGCUCUUUCAAUGGAAAGGAAAGCAGUUUGGCUUCUGGCGUGCAUUUUUAAGUAUAGGAUUCUUAAUGUAUUUCUACUGAUGUAUCCAGUGUGCAGAAGGAGCUCAGAACCUGCAUUUUUUUUUCUGCUUUAGCUCU
ensembl:lncRNA